rnacentral:rRNA from 1 species
CCAUAAGCGGAGGAAAAGAAACCAACAGGGAUUGCCUUAGUAGCGGCGAGUGAAGCGGCAAAAGCUCAAAUUUGAAAUCUGGCGCCUUCGGUGUCCGAGUUGUAAUUUGAAGAUUGUAACCUUGGGGUUGGCUCUUGUCUAUGUUUCUUGGAACAGGACGUCACAGAGGGUGAGAAUCCCGUGCGAUGAGAUGCCCAAUUCUAUGUAAGGUGCUUUCGAAGAGUCGAGUUGUUUGGGAAUGCAGCUCUAAGUGGGUGGUAAAUUCCAUCUAAAGCUAAAUAUUGGCGAGAGACCGAUAGCGAACAAGUACAGUGAUGGAAAGAUGAAAAGAACUUUGAAAAGAGAGUGAAAAAGUACGUGAAAUUGUUGAAAGGGAAGGGUUUGAGAUCAGACUCGAUAUUUUGUGAGCCUUGCCUUCGUGGCGGGGUGACCCGCAGCUUAUCGGGCCAGCAUCGGUUUGGGCGGUAGGAUAAUGGCGUAGGAAUGUGACUUUACUUCGGUGAAGUGUUAUAGCCUGCGUUGAUGCUGCCUGCCUAGACCGAGGACUGCGAUUUUAUCAAGGAUGCUGGCAUAAUGAUCCCAAACCGCCCGUCUUGAA